rnacentral:lncRNA from 1 species
GGAAUAUAACGGAUGUGGACUUCGCCACGCAUUUGAUUAAAUGCCUGUCGCCGAAUAGGUUUCUGUGGAUUUGCCAGCCCGCAGCUGAAGUUUACCUUCACCGCUGUACAAAGACGCGGCACGCACGCGCAAGAAAAUGGGCAAGUGAACUGCCAAAGAAGUGAACAGCCAUGAUUCUGCGCAUGUGCAAGGCAUGGCGGGUUUUGACCUUUAAGAGAGCCAAUUCUGGAAAACAACCAAACUUCUUUGAUUGAAUACUCACAUGCGUUGGAACAUGAUUAGGAGAUUAAGGUAUCUUUCACUUGGCCUUAAUGAGUUAAAUGAAGAAAAAGAAACACCAUGAGUUAUAUUGUUUAAUAAUAAAAUGAAGACCAUAGUAAAACAGCCUCCUUCUUAGCCCAGCAAUUCUUAUUUUUCAAUCAGACUUGAAAGAAGAGAUUGAAGGCAUAGUGGCACUUUGAUAUUUCCAAUGGAGCAGGAUACAAGAAUGAAGAAAUGGCACAGGAUAUACCAGGAAAAGAUUGCCACAUAGCUAGUCCGGUUUGAAUGAAAAGAUAAGUAUGAAAGUUAAAUCAACUGUUCACUCAGCAUAGUACUCAAUAUUAAGAACAGUUGUCUAUGUUCAAAAGUUUGUAGUGAGUGCAAAUUAAGUAUUAGCUAGAAAAUUUGAAAUGUAAAUCCAUCAGAGAUAAUAGAUUUAAAUUGUUCCUGGGCUGGGGAUUUAGCUCAGUGGUUCCACUACCUGCCUACAAGUGCAAGGUCCCGAGUUCGAUCCCUGGUACCAAAAAAAAAAGAAAUAGUAAAAAAAUAAAUUGUUCUUUAAAGUAGAGAUAAAUACAAAGGGGAUUAAUAGGUAUUUUAACCUCCAAAAGUAGCCUUAUUGAAAAAUCAAAGUUUGAGUAGGCAUCGAUACAGAUUAGGGGAGAAAAGAACUAGAAAAUAAUUCGUUGUAAGCAUCUCCAUUCUUCAGGGUGCCUUGAAGAGUCAUGCACUCAGAGAGGAUAAUCACUGCAUUGAAAAUGAUUAUAAUUUAUUUGUUCUACUUGCUACUUACCUGGUGACCAGAGGAGUAUCAUGCUUGGUCAGUCUUGCUAUCCAUUUACAACUAUUUUAUUAUGCUAAGAGCUCUUUCUUAAUAUAUAAUCACCAUACUUACAACGCACUAACAUAAUAAUCCCUUGCUAUAGUCAUACCAGUUUCUUUUGAACUCCUGAUUGUUUCAGAAAAAUGAACCUUCCAUUUGGAUUUAUUUUUCUUUUCUACAUAAUCUCACUAAGUUUCCCAGGCUGGUCGCCAAACUUGGGAUCUUCCUGAAUAGCUGGAAUUACAGCCAUGUGCCAUACAUAUUGCAUUCGGUUUUCAUGAUUCUUAAAAGAGAACUUUUAAAUGGAGUGAUAGUGUUUCCAUUGGAGAGAGAUGAAAUUGGAUAGAUUCUGAUUAUAUAGUCCUUGAUACUUUGGCAAAAAAAAAAUAUAUAUAUAUAUAGGCUGUACUUAGAAAAUCAGGUACAGAAUGUGAAAAUGUGAAUUUUAGGAAGUUUCUAUGACUAAACAUAGAGGCCAGCUGAAAAUGCAUUGUAGCUUAUAAGGUACUUAGGCCUAAUUUAAAAGUAUAAAAUUAACAGUGUCAAACCAGUAGUUGAACUGAAAUCUCAAAACAGAUCAAUUGGUUUUGCUGGCUAAUUGAAUACAAGAAAUGAUUAGCACAGGACAAAAACUGAAUGUGAAGAGAGGAUGACAGUGGGCAAGUUUUCCUAGUUAGGACACAAAAGGGAACAAAAGAAAGUACCUGUGAUAAAAAUGUGAUGGUAAAUAGCAUAUUAUGUUCUUAUCAAAUGGCACUUCUUGACUGAACAGUAUGUUCAUAAUUUAGUCAUGUCUGAGAAGUAAAAAGUCAUCAAAACUGUUUUUAAGCCGGGGAUUUAGGUCAGUGGUUCCGCCGCCUGCCUCGCAAGCACAAGGUCCCGAGUUCAAUCCCCUGUACAAAAAAAAAAAAAAAUGUUUUUAAAUAUAUGUUUGUCUUCUAAGUAGUUUUAACUUUGUAUAUAAG